AUUACCGAGUGUUGGGCCCUCGGGCCCCUUACUCCCACCCCAUGUGUACCUACCACUCUUCAGUUGCCUUGGUGGGUCCCUCCCUCGUACCGAGGAAGGGGUUCAGCCCGCCAGGGGGACUUUAUAAAACUCUUGAACUUGGGAUGUCUGAGAAAGCAAUCAAAUAAAUAAAAACUUUCAACAACGGAUCUCUUGGUUCUGGCAUCGAUGAAGAACGCAGCGAAAUGCGAUAAGUAAUGUGAAUUGCAGAAUUCAGUGAAUCAUCGAAUCUUUGAACGCACAUUGCGCCCUCUGGUAUUCCGGGGGGCAUGCCUGUUCGAGCGUCAUUUCAAACCCUCAAGCUCCGGCUUGGUAUUGGGCGCCGUCCGCCUGAGGACGUGCCUGAAACUCGUAGGCGGUCGCGCGCAGCUCCUCAGCGUAGUCAAAUUCUCGCUCCGGACGCCCUGUGUGCGGCCCUGCCUGGGAACCACUCAUCUCAAGGUUUGACCUCGGAUCAGGUAGGGAUACCCGCUGAACUUAAGC
rnacentral:rRNA from 1 species